AGCUCCAAUCGCGUAUAUUAAAAUUGUUGCGGUUAAAACGCUCGUAGUUGAAUAUUUGUCGAAGAAUACUGGUCCACCCAAGUGGUGCGUACUCGGUGUACCUUCGUCACCUUUACCGGGGAGAGCAUUUCCACUUCGUUGUGGGUGUGCAAGAUCCGGAACUUUUACUUUGAGGAAAUAAGAGUGUUUCAAGCAGGCAUUGCCAUGAAUACGUCAGCAUGGAAUAAUAGCAUAGGACCCGGUGUCGUAUCUGUUGGUUCACGGCGCUGGGUAAUAACAAGAGGGAUAGUUGGGGGCAUUCGUACUGCAAAGUCAGAGGUGAAAUUCUUGGAUUUUUGCAAGACGGACUAGUGCGAAAGCAUUUGCCAAGGAUGUUU
rnacentral:rRNA from 1 species